AUUGAACGCUGGCGGCAUGCUUAACACAUGCCAGUCGAACGGAAACGAUGGAGCUUGCUCCAGGCGUCGAGUGGCGGACGGGUGAGUAACGCAUGGGAAUCUGCCUUUUGCUGGGGGAUAACGUAGGGAAACUUACGCUAAUACCGCAUAAGACCUAAGGGUGAAAGCGGGGGACCGAAAGGCCUCGCGGCAAGAGAUGAGCCCAUGUUGGAUUAGCUAGUUGGUGGGGUAAAGGCCUACCAAGGCGACGAUCCAUAGCUGGUCUGAGAGGAUGAUCAGCCACACUGGGACUGAGACACGGCCCAGACUCCUACGGGAGGCAGCAGUGGGGAAUAGUGGACAAUGGGGGGAACCCUGAUCCAGCAAUGCCGCGUGUGUGAAGAAGGCCUUCGGGUUGUAAAGCACUUUCAGUAGGGAGGAAAGGUGCGUAGUUAAUACCUGCGCAAUUGACGUUACCUACAGAAGAAGCACCGGCUAACUCCGU
rnacentral:rRNA from 1 species